AUGAUCGUCCUUGUGAGCGCCGGCGAUGAGGCCGCGUUGCUUGCUUUCAAAGCGCAGCUUAGCCAUGGUGGCUCGCUAGCCUCCUGGAACAGCAGCACUGACUUUUGCAGCUGGCAAGGAGUGACGUGCAGCCACCGCAGGCCAGUGCGGGUGGCGGCGCUGAGAUUGAACGGCGCCGGGCUCGUCGGAGCACUCUCCCCAGCCAUUGGGAACCUCACGUCCAUGCAGACGCUCGAACUAGGCUCCAACUCGCUCCACGGAGACAUUCCGGCGAGCCUCGGCCGACUCCACCGCCUGCAGAGGCUCUACUUGAAUUACAACUCCUUCUCUGGCACAUUCCCUGCUAACUUGAGCUCUUGCACCAGCAUGACCGAAAUGAGACUGGACUACAACAAGCUUGGAGGGCACAUCCCGGCUGAGCUUGGCGAGAAGCUCACGUCCCUGACAAUAAUCUCGCUGAGAAAAAACAACUUCACAGGGGCCAUCCCGGCAUCGAUGGCCAACCUGUCCAAUCUACAGUUCCUUGAACUCACUGAGAACCAGCUCAUUGGUUCAAUCCCAUCAGGGCUGGGAAGCAUCCGGAGCAUGCGUUUUUUCACUCUCUAUGCAAAUAACGUCUCUGGUACGCUUCCACCUUCUCUCUACAACUGGUCAUCCCUGGAAGUAUUUGGUGUAGGGUCAAAUAUGUUGUACGGAAGCAUUCCGGAUGAUAUCGGAAGCAAGUUCUCCAAGUUGAGACAUCUUGGCUUGGUUCAUAAUCACUUCACAGGAACCAUCCCUUCCUCAAUAUCCAACAUAUCUUCCAUCCAAGUACUUAUGCUCUCGUCAAACAAAUUUAGUGGGUAUGUGCCUCCCACGUUGGGGAGGCUCAGACGUCUCCAACUUGUGAACUUGAGUAACAAUAAGCUUGAAGCAAAUGACAACAAGGGUUGGGAAUUCAUCACUUCUUUGGCAAACUGCAGCAGACUGCAGCUAUUGUCAUUCAGCAACAAUGCUUUUGAAGGACAACUGCCAGGUUCAAUUGUAAACCUCUCAACGACUCUCCAGUCCUUAUACUUUGGUGGAAGUAUGAUCUCUGGAAUUAUUCCUGCUGACAUCGGUAAUCUGGUUGGUCUCAAAGUUUUUGAUAUAGCAGCUACUUCUAUAUCUGGAGUGAUUCCAGAUAGCAUCGGUAAGCUAGAGAACUUGGUCAAUUUAAACUUGAUCUACCAUACCUUGUCUGGUCUCAUACCUCCAUCGCUAGGAAACCUUUCACAAUUGAUUAGCCUUCGUGCACGUGAUUGCAAUUUGGAGGGGCCAAUUCCAGCAAGCCUGGGAGAGUUGAAAAAUAUCUUUAUGAUUGAUUUGUCAAGGAAUUUCCAUCUUAAUGGUUCAAUACCAAGAGAGAUUUUAAAAUUAACCAGCCUCUCUUGGUAUGUGGACUUGUCAUACAAUUCCCUUUCUGGACCCAUUCCCAAUGAAGUUGGUAGCUUGUCAAACCUUAACCAACUUAUUCUAUCAGGAAACCGAUUGUCUGGCGAGAUACCUGAUAGUAUUCAGAAUUGCAUAGUGUUGGUACUGCUAUCAUUAGACAAUAAUUCAUUCGAGGGAGUCAUACCUCGACCACUGGCAAAUAUAAAGGGGCUCAUUAAACUAGACCUCAGCAUGAAUAAGUUCUUUGGUAAUAUUCCUGAUGCCCUUGGUAAUAUUGGAAACCUGCAAGGACUAUACCUAGCACAUAACAACUUGUCCGGGUCAAUCCCGUUAGUCCUACAAAAUUUGUCAUCAUUGUCUGAACUGGAUAUAUCCUUCAAUAAUUUGCAAGGCGAGGUGCCACAUGAAGGUGUUUUUAGAAACAUCACUUACUUAGCGGUUGCCGGGAAUAUCAAUUUGUGUGGUGGUACACCUCAACUGGACAUGGCUCCAUGCUCCAUAAGCAAGAAGACUAGAAAGAUGCCAAAGUCCCUUGUCAUUUCUUUAGCGACAGUUGGAGCAAUCUUGUUGUCACUUUCACUUGUUUUUCUUAUUUGGAUGCUUUGCAAGAAUCUCAAACCAAGCCAGAAGACAGUAGCCCAAAAUUCAAUUGUUGGUGACCGUUACAAUAGAAUCCCCUAUCAUGCAUUAUGGAAAGGAACUAACGGAUUUUCAGAAGCCAACUUGCUUGGGAGAGGAAGUUAUGGUGCAGUUUAUAAGUGUGUUUUGAACACUGAAGAAAGAACAUUGGCUGUCAAGGUUUUUAAUCUUGGUCAAUCUAGGUAUUCAAAGAGUUUUGAGGCUGAGUGUGAGAUCAUGAGAAGGAUGCGACAUCGUUGUCUCAUUAAGAUCAUUACUUCUUGUUCGAGCGUCAACCACCAAGGUCAGGAGUUCAAGGCAUUGGUUUUUGAGUUCAUGUGCAAUGGUAACUUGGAUGGUUGGCUUCAUCCAGAAUCUCAACAACCUACUACAAACAACACACUCAGCCUUGCUCAAAGGCUUGAUAUUGCUGUCGGUAUUGUGGAUGCAAUAGAAUAUCUACACGACUACUGUCAACCAUUGGUAAUCCAUUGCGAUCUUAAGCCAAAAAACAUUCUUCUUGCUGAAGACAUGAGUGCACGAGUUGGAGACUUUGGCAUAUCAAGGAUUCUGCAAGAAAAUACAAGCAAGGGGAUGCAAACUUCAUAUAGCUCAACUGGAAUUAGAGGUUCCAUAGGCUAUGUUGCUCCAGAGUACGGUGAAUGCUCUGCUGUCUCAACAGCUGGUGAUCUUUAUAGUCUUGGCAUAUUAUUGCUUGAGAUGUUUACCGGAAGGAACCCAACAGAAGGCAUGUUCAAAGAUUCAUUGGAUCUGCAUAAGUUUGUUGAGGAUGGAAUCCCAAACAGAACCUUGGAGAUAGCCGACCCAACAUUGUGGCUGCACAUCGAACGACACAAUAACACUGCUAAUAAUAGAAUCCAGGAGGUAUUGGUUUCGGUCUUAAGGCUUGGCAUAUCAUGCUCAAAGAAACAACCUCGAGACCGAGCACUGACAAAAGAUGCAGCAGCCGAGAUGCAUGCAAUCAGAGAUGCAUAACUCAAGUUUACAGGGGAGCAUGGACCAGAAAGAGAAGCCUCAACUCAAGAAAUUCAGAAUAGCAUUGGAUAA
rnacentral:rRNA from 1 species